CAUAUUGAGUCUUGAGUUACUAAUGUCGCUGCACUUUCAUCUGCAUUGCUUACAUGUUUUUAUUACACCAGCUAUUGGCUACAGAUUUUCGCAUUUCAUAUGUAUGUAUCCAUAUUAGAGGAUUUAUCACAUUAGGACAUUGUGUGGAACAGAUCUGAAGAUGGUUGUCACUGACUGAUCACAAUAUAAAGUCCUUCGAAGACCCGUUUGGAAGAGUGGAAUAAACAUUUGACAGUACCUGGAUCACUGCUUCUAUUGGCGACUGUCGUAGCUCGUGAAUCGGUACAUAGUUACUGGGUGUGGCUGAGUGCAUGACAUGAAUUGUCAUCUGUGGAAGAUUUAUGGAAGAAAGCAGCCCAUACUGCCAUUUUUGUUUCCUCAAGGUCAUUUUUAUUUGGUCUUACGGCUUGUCCAUAAUAAUACUGGAACCUGUCUAUAUGUAAACUGAAGACUGCAUAUUACACUAUGCAACCAUUAAAAUGUAAAUCAAAUGAAAAUAGCACAUUGGAACUGAUAGGAAAUGGCUGAUUGCGAAUAUCACAAAGACAAUUCAAAAUUAGCUCUAUUUUUCGUUUUACUAUGUUUUAAGUUGAAAAUCAAAUAUUAUAAUGGCUUGUCAGUCAUAACUAGUGACAAUGAAGCAUGUUGUCCAUGUUCUUACUUGUGUGCAAUAUUUUGGGUAUAAACAUUUUGAUACCAA